UAAUUAUUUCAUAUGACUUAAAGGUAGGCAGACAAUGUAAUAGAGCAGCAGGAAAUGCUAGCAGAAUGCUUGGUUGUAUAGGGAGAGGUAUUAGCAGUAGAAAGAGGGAAGUGCUCAUGCCAUUGUGCAGAACACUGGUGAGACCUCACUUGGAGUAUUGUAUGCAGUACUGGAGACCGUACCCCUAGAAGUAUAUUGAUACCUUAGAGAGGGUUCAGAGAAGGGCUACUAAACUGGUUCAUGGAUUGCAGGAUAAAACUUACUAGGAAAGGUUAAAGGAACUUAACAUGUAUAGCUUGGAGGAAAGACGAGACAGGGGGGAUAUGAUGGAAACAUUUAAAUACAUAAAGGGAAUUAACACAGUAAAGGAGGAGACUAUAUUUAAAAGAAGAAAAACUACCACAACAAGAGGACAUAGUCUUAAAUUAGAGGGGCAAAGGUUUAAAAAUAAUAUCAGGAAGUAUUACUUUACUGAGAGGGUAGUGGAUGCAUGGGAUAGCCUUCCAGCUGAAGUGGAGGAGGUUAACACAGUAAAAAGGUUAAGCAUGUGUGAGAUAGGCAUAAGGCUAUCCUAGCUAUAAGAUAAGGCCAGGGACUAUUAAAGUAUUUAGAAAAUUGGGCAGACCAGAUGGGCCGUAUGGUUCUUAU